GCGGUGCUCAGCGCCGCGAGGGAGCGAGCGAGCUCUGGUCUGCCGCCGGUUCCUGCGCCACCGUGCAGGUCCAAAACAAAACCUGGACCGCACCCACCUCUCCCGUUUUGUCUCUCUCUCAACCCCACAAAUUUGUUCCCUUCCGUGCCUGAUCCAGAUCGGGCGAUGAGCCGCUCCUGUCCCAGGCUCCUCCCCGCCGGCGGCCAUGCGCGUAUCUCACCAGCCUCCUUGCCCACCCACGGUCGUGCAUCCCUCCCUGAAGCCUCCUUCCCCGCUAGCCGCUGCACGCCACCCCAGUAUCUUUCCCCAUCGGCGGCCUCGAGCACCUCCCCCAUCGAUGACCUCACGCCCGUCCCCAUUCUCCUUCCUUACGUGUGGCACCGCUCCACCUCCCGUCGGCCAUCUAGCAGGCUCCUAUUUCGUGCGUGGUGGCCGCGCCCCUCUCCCCAGCUACAUGCGAGGAGUAGCCCCUAGCAACUCGUGGUGCCGAGCACGAGCACCGUGGACCUCCCCUGCACCUUCACCCGGGGUGGCAAGCUUGAAGGCAGCCAGCGCUACUUUGAUGCUAUGGUCAAGGGUGUGCGCGUGAGCUUGUGUUUGAUGUUUCAGCCGUUGUCUCUUUGCAAAACUGGUGGUGCAUGCGCUACUCAUAGUGGUGAUUAUGAGAUUGGGGCAGUUAGCUCGUCCCUCGUGUAGUAAGAGCAAAACAUAGUGCGUUUCUGCAGUUAUCUGUACUCAAACAUAAUGAUUAACUUUUUGAGAUGUAACAGUUCUUUUGCACUUAUUUAUUUAAAAAAUACACAUAAAUUAUGUCAGUUAACUCUGCAAUUUGCAGCAGUUAUCUAAAGCCGAUGAGAACCCUGAUUCGAUGGUGAUCGAUCACCUCCUUGAAGAUUGAGUGAGGUUAAGCUAGCUAGCCCGACUCAAUUAACUUGGAUCGAUCCAGCCUAACAGCUAGUGCAUUCAUGUUGGUUCUAGUACAUACCACCACUCCCUGGAAGAUGGAUGAAUGGAUGGAUGGCCAAAGCUAGCCUGUGUUUCAUGGGAGCAUACUAUGAUGGAAUUUUUGUGAAGCAUCAGUACUAGCUCAUGGAUGUCUCCUCCUGUUUUCUCUUUUGUUAUAGGGACAUUUACAUCUCUGCCCCUAACUCGAACCCAUUACUCAGUUUUGCCCCUAGUUUUCGGGUAUGCUCAGUUUUGCCCCUCUGCCGUCAAUGCCACUUAUAGAAAUGCCCCUCCGCUCCGUUUCCGUCCAGUCAAGGCUGUUUGACCGCUAACUUGCCGUCAGUUUGACAUAUUUGCCCUUCUUUCUUACAUGUGGCCCCUCUCUUACCUCUUCGCUUCACUCUCUCUCUGUUCUCUUUCUCUCGCUCGACCCUAACCCUAGCUCUGUCUUCCCCAAAUCUCCCCCUCACCUGAACCCUAGCGGCUUCGAUCCCCACCAUGGAAAACUCCAGAUCAAUGGCGGGCACGGUGGAGAUUCGGUCGACCUGACUCUUUAUGCGAGCUGUGCUGCGAUUCGGAGCCAACCGCUGCGGAUGGAGGUCGAUGGUGGUUGCGGCGCCGGCGGCGGCCAUGAAGGGCGCACAAAUCCGAAGGGGGUGGACUAUAUAUGUUUGGAUUGUAGAAUGAAAACAACUCUUCUAGUUCCUGCUGGUACAAAAGCAGGGAACACAGGACUAUAUAUGCUUGACAAAAUUAGGCAGUUCAUAAUGGAAAAGUUUGACUUGAGACAGCAGAUUGCAGCUGGGACAUACAAUGGGCACAUCAUAAUCUGCCACUUCUGGAGGGCAAGCAACAAUGGGAUGUUGUAGACCCAGGAUUUAAACUGAGUGCUCCAUUGCAAAAUAGGCCACCUGGUAGACCUAGGAAGACAAGAAUUAGGGCUAAAUCAGAGGGAAAAGGACUUGGAGGAAGAAAGAAUAAGUGUUCAAGAUGUGGGAAGCUUGGGCACAAAGGCAGCCACUGCAAAGAGUCCAUUGACCCUGCAUUUGGAGAGGAAGAACAUUGGGGUGCUGAUAAUGCCAAUGAUGAACCUCUGGCUACUAUGGCAGAUGCUGCUACUGAUGAUGUAAAUGCAGAUGCUGCUACUGAUGAUGCUACUAAUGAAACUAUGGCAGAUGCUGCUACUGAUGAUGCAAA